AGGGGUACAGCUCAGUGGAAGAGCGCAUGCUUAGCACGCACGAGGCCCUGGGUUCAAUCCCCAGUACCUCCA
rnacentral:tRNA from 1 species